rnacentral:lncRNA from 1 species
UUUUAUAUUUCAUCAAAGAAGGAAGAUGACAAUUUCCAGAGUAGUAAGAAGGAAAGCCCGCGUAUCUUAUUUUCUCAUCUAUAUUUCCCUCCUUAUUUAUGUUGAUGCAACACCAAAUUCAUCAAAGAAGGAAAGAUGUUUCCACUUCUGUCAGGGUUUCAAGUGUUUCCACUUCUGUUGAAAAAUCUAUUCACCAAGGGUUUCCAUUUCAAUUGGGAUAUCACCGAUUGCAAAACAUAUAUAUAUAAGAAAGACUCGAUUUUUCUGCUCCUACUCUCAAGCUUUCUUCUCAAUCAACUGUGAUUUCUAUUGAGGAACUAGUCGUUAAAAGGUUUGAACUUACCUAUUCUCUGCUUUUACUUUUUAAUUACUAUGUUCUACCUGUAUCUAUCAUUUGUUAUGGGUUUGAAGCCAUGAGAAAAUUAGGAAUUUUUAUUGAAUACUGUAUUUGAAUUGGUUUGAACCCGUGGAGAAAUCAGUUUUUUUUUUUAUUGAAUGCUAUGAUGGGUAUGAAGCAAUGGGAAAAUUAGGGGUUUUUAUGUAUUUGAUGAAUUUGGCAAUUUUCAGAAACCUAGAUUGUGUGAAUUUGUUUUAAUUAACCUUGAAUUAACAAAUUCUGAUGGGAAAAAAAGCCAAUAGAUAAUGAAGGUUUUAUACCUACUUGGUAGGAAUUUAUGUUAGAAAAGAGUAUCGAUAGAAAAGUUAUCAUUUAAGUUAUAAAUUAAAAUUAUGGGAUUCCAGUUGUAGUGUUAAUUUAUAUGUUGAUCAAGAGUGUCGUAUGGUCAUAUGUUCCGAAAAGGUUAGGGGUUUAGGCAGACCGUGAGAACUAGAGGAUGACCUCUGUUUGUGGGCUGGACUGCAGUCCAGAUAUAGAUGUGUUAUGAUGUUUUGUACAUGAUUAUUCAUAUACAAGUCACUGAGCAUAGUCUGUGUGUACACAUUUUGAACUAUCUCUGUGUAUAUGCUGUAGUACAUCACUGAAAAAAUUCGUUUACAAAAACUGCACUAAAUUACAGAUUAUAUGUGAUAUCAUUUUUUUCUUGGAGGAAUCAUAGGCGAAAUAUGCAUUCUGACUACUGUUUAUUGAUAGUUUUUAGUUGGUAGACCUAGCCUGACCUAUAUUCAUGGAUAUGAUUCUUUUAUCAGUUGGUAGACCUGACCAACAUGGAUAUGAUUCUCUUAUCAGUUUGAUUACCAUCUUUAUUUUUUGGGGGGGAAUAAGUCGAGGCGUUAGGCAGACGCAGACCUGACCUAUAUUCAUAAAACUUCUUACGUUGCUUUUCCCUUUUGAAUCAUCCUCUGCUAUUACAUUUAGCUUACAUAGCUUUUCCCUUUUUUUUAGAGCAGUGUAAUGAACAAAGUUGAUUUGCUAGCUUUCUCUCGAAGCUUUUCGAGGUUGUUCAUCUAUAUUGGUAGUUAUUAAGAUAGGUUUCUUUUUCUCUACAUCAUGGAUAUCUUCCAUGCACUCGUCAUUGUUCUCAUCUUUCUUGUCGAGGUCUAGAUCACAGAAAUGGCUAUUAGGCCUACUUAAUGAAUUUCAAUAUAUACAGAACUAUCAGGAAAAACUUUGAAAGAAUUUUGAUUAUUGUAAUCAAUAAAGUUAUCUUGUGCAGAAAUAAUUGUGAUUGCACAUGGACUCGGUCUAUGAUCCUUGAUUUCAAAUGACACACCUCGGCAACUUGAAAAUCUUUCAUUCUUCUCUAGUUUAUUCAUCUUUGGUUUUCUUAACUAGUCAUCUGUAUGGCAAGCUUAUAUAAUGAGCUUCUCAAAGGCUCCAUCUAAAGAAUGAGAACGGGCUCUGAAUAUUCUUCAUACCUUUUUUCGUGCAAACGUCCCCACUGUCUAUACUGCCACUUAUUUUCAGUUUGAUUUUUCUACACACAUACACACACACACAUAUAUAUAUAUAUAUAUUUUGCUAAGUAUGUUAAUUUUCAUUGAAAACUGUCAGAUUACAAAAAAGGGCAUUUUGCCCUACAUGAUUUAACAUAAUCUGUAAUACAUCACAUUAUCUUGUUCUAUUCUUUUAAUCCAAGCAGAUAAUCCCUCAGUAGUAAUGCUCUCAUCCUAACUCAGGCCUGCACCUUUCUUAACACCCUGAUCAGCACCAAAAUUACACUCCCUCCACACUGCGUUUAGCUGCAGACUCGCUGUUUUAAACUUGCACUGUCUCUAUCUUGCCUUUAUGAUCCCAAGGCACAUCAUCAUUUUUAAUGGCCUGAAUGUGUAACUCUGAGUUUGAAUCCAUAAUAAUACCAGUCUAUAUAUCCUUUGGCUACAACAAUUUCUAGAGCCUCCAAAAUGCCAUAGCACUCUGCUAGUACCUUAUAUGGUUUAUCUGUAAGCCUAGGCUAUUUCUUUCUAGAUCUUAUAUUAAUCUGCACGCUCAUAGGAUUAACUCUUGUACAAAUUUUACUCUUAUCUUGUUUGCUUAACUGCACUAUAAACUACAAUGUCAAUUGGUAGUAAUGUACAGGUGGUAAACCAUAACACCUGAUUAACAGAAAUAUACAGGGUUUUAGCACGAUACUGAACUACUGAAAUUUUGUAUUAUACUAUGGUUUAUGUAAACUUUUUUUGUUUGUUCAUUCUAAUAUUACUUAUGUAAAUCUUUUUUGACUACUAGACUAGAGCUAAAGUUUACUUGGUGCUUCUUUUGCAGAUAAGCUAGCUAGAGCGAGUGAACUGGUGACUGCUUUCAAGUUUUCUACUUCAGUAUAUAAUCUGUGGUAAGUCAUUUACAAAAUUAAUAGUACGUCAGCUUAUAUUUGUUAAGAAAUAUUUUUAACCAAAAUCAAGUAUACAAUAAAGCUUAGGUAGUUAUACUUUUACUUCUAUGUCUACCAUUUACUUAUGGGUUUAGAUGUAUGUAUGACAUUCUUAUACGAUGUGUCAUUAUAAACUUGCAUGCAUAUAGUGGUCCUUGUUCCUUCUCUUGCAUAUGCGGUCUUUUGAAUACCUAUAGUAUGUAAUAUUUGCAUGUCAUUAGACUUUUGCUCAACCCAUUUAAAUGAAAUGUAUUCAUGUUUUGUUGGUAGUAUUGCCUUGCACACUGAGACCCCAAGAUGUGUCUUUAUGCUAUAGUCUAGUUGGUGUGUAGUUUACUAGUCUGCUCAUCUCCAUAUACACGUGUUGUAUGUGUAUAGUUGCUUGGUAGCUUUACUGCUUUAUACACAUGUUUUUGUUUUUAUUUGUCUACAAUACUUCAAUUCUUUUCUAACUUAAAAAGUUAACUAAACCUUUUUUAUAUUUCUUUCUUGCAGAGGAAACAACUUUUAAACUCCUGGGUAUUUGCUUAUGAAGUUGCGCUCAUUCUUAUGAAGUUCAAGUAGUUCUGAAAUUUUGUAGGAAUAUUUUUUGUUUUGAUUUAUUAUGAUGUAUGUGGAGACUUAUUUUAAAUGUAUGAUUUGGUUUACUUUGAGUAUGAGGUGGAUAUCAUUAUUAUAUUUAUUACAGUCAUGAGUAAAUAAUUUGUUAAGGAUUUAUUUAUUUGGAAUAA